GACGAACGCUGGCGGCGUGCUUAACACAUGCAAGUCGAACGGUGAAGCGCCUUCCUUUUUGGUGGGUGUGGAUGAGUGGCGAACGGGUGAGUAACACGUGAGUAACCUGCCCCCCUCUUCUGGAUAACCGCAUGAAAGUGUGGCUAAUACGGGAUAUUCUGGGUCUGUCGCAUGAUGGGUCUGGGAAAGAUAUUGUUUCGGUGGGGGAUGGGCUCGCGGCCUAUCAGCUUGUUGGUGGGGUGAUGGCCUACCAAGGCGGUGACGGGUAGCCGGCCUGAGAGGGUGGACGGUCACACUGGGACUGAGACACGGCCCAGACUCCUACGGGAGGCAGCAGUGGGGAAUAUUGCACAAUGGGCGCAAGCCUGAUGCAGCGACGCCGCGUGAGGGAUGGAGGCCUUCGGGUUGUGAACCUCUUUCGCCAGUGAAGCAGGCCUGCCUCGUUUGUGGGUGGGUUGACGGUAGCUGGAGAAGAAGCGCCGGCUAACUACGUG
rnacentral:rRNA from 1 species